rnacentral:rRNA from 1 species
GGUGAACGCUGGCGGCGUGCUUAAGACAUGCAAGUCGAACGGCAGUCUUCGGACUGUAGUGGCGCACGGGUGAGUAACGCGUAACUGACCUACCCCAAAGUCGCGGAUAACGAUUCGAAAGAAUCGCUAAUACGUGAUGUGCUGUCAGAUUGUGUUCUGCCAGUAAAGAUUGAUUGCUUUGGGAUGGGGUUGCGUUCCAUCAGCUAGUUGGUGGGGUAAAGGCCCACCAAGGCGACGACGGAUAGCCGGCCUGAGAGGGUGGCCGGCCACAGGGGCACUGAGACACGGGUCCCACUCCUACGGGGGGCAGCAGUUAGGAAUCUUCCACAAUGGGCGAAAGCCUGAUGGAGCGACGCCGCGUGAGGGAUGAAGGUCUUCGGAUCGUAAACCUCUGAAUCAGGGACGAAAGACACUUCGGUGGGAUGACGGAACCUGAGUAAUAGCACCGGCUAACUCCGUGCCAGCAGCCGCCGUAACAC